rnacentral:rRNA from 1 species
AAAAACAUGUCCUUUUGUUUAUGAUUUAAGGUCUGACCUGCCCAAUGAUUAUUUGAAUGGCCGCAGUAUUUUGACUGUGCAAAGGUAGCAUAAUCAUUAGUUUUUUAAAUGGAAGCUGGUAUGAAUGGUUUGAUGAGAAAAUAGCUGUCUCAAUAUAAUUGAUUUAGAAUUUUAAUUUUAAGUUAAAAAGCUUAAAUGUUUUAGAAAGACGAGAAGACCCUAUAGAGUUUUAUUUUUUAUUUGAUAUAUAUUUUAUGGGUUUUGGUAUUAUUUAUUAUUUAAAGAAUUUUGUUGGGGUGAUGUAAAAAUUUAGUUAACUUUUUAUUUAUUUAUCCAUUUAUUUAUGAAUUUUUGAUCCUUUAUUUUAGAUUAUAAGAUUAAAUUACCUUAGGGAUAACAGCGUAAUUUUUUUGGAGAGUUCUUAUCGAUAAAGAAGUUUGCGACCUCGAUGU